rnacentral:rRNA from 1 species
GAUGAACGCUGGCGGCGUGCUUAACACAUGCAAGUCGUACGAUGAAGCCCAGCUUGCUGGGUGGAUUAGUGGCGAACGGGUGAGUAACACGUGAGUAACCUGCCCUUAACUCUGGGAUAAGCCUGGGAAACUGGGUCUAAUACCGGAUAGGAGCGUCCACCGCAUGGUGGGUGUUGGAAAGAUUUAUCGGUUUUGGAUGGACUCGCGGCCUAUCAGCUUGUUGGUGAGGUAAUGGCUCACCAAGGCGACGACGGGUAGCCGGCCUGAGAGGGUGACCGGCCACACUGGGACUGAGACACGGCCCAGACUCCUACGGGAGGCAGCAGUGGGAAUAUUGCACAAUGGGCGCAAGCCUGAUGCAGCGACGCCGCGUGAGGGAUGACGGCCUUCGGGUUGUAAACCUCUUUCAGUAGGGAAGAAGCGAAAGUGACGGUACCUGCAGAAGAAGCACCGGCUAACUACGUG